CUCCAGGCUUUUCCUUGGCUCCACGCUAAUGAACACACACCCACCAGAUGAGCAGACAGUGCUGCUGCUGCCCGGCCUCGCUCCUGGAGGUGGCUCAGUGCGUCGGAUCCAGGUCUGACCCGAGACUGAGGUAUGACUCCGCUUGUUUGGAAGCCACUGAAUUCCUGCUGAAUUCCAGCUUGGAACCUGGCUUCCUGUCCCUGGGCAGCCCUGCAGUUCCCACCAGUGGCACUUCACCCUCAGCAUGUUCUCCCAAGCAGGGAGCAGCACUCAGAUAUGUUUGUUUGCACUAUAUCAUCUAACCUAAUCUGUACGGGAAGUAUAUUUAUCCUAGAGCAGUGGAGCAUUUGUACUGCUUCCUUGUCACCAAGAAUAAUGGAGAGGAAAGAAGCUGCCUCCUGCCUUUUUUUGGUAACCAGCCCUUCUGCAGGUGAGAUGAUGUUAUUAUCUGCUGUUUGGUAUUCAGGUGUGGAAGAAGCCCUCCUGCAGUCCUGCUGCUCUGCCAGGUGUCCCUGUUUUCUCUGCCUCUGAUUCUCCCUUUUUCAGUAACUCUUCAUUACUGCCUUUGCUACCUUUCAUCUACUGAUUUCACAACUGUCAGGAGUGAUUUGAAUUCUGAUCCUGCCCUCAGAAGUGCCUGCAGCCCUUCCAGCUCGCAGUCAUCACCAAAUGUAUCUGUGUUGUCUCUGCUGCAGCAUCGGAGCCUGAGCAGGAGCACCUGGGAGCCUCUUCAGCUAUCCUUCAUACCCACAGGGGACAAUCCGAACACUUGGGUGAUUUUCAUUGUGUUCAUACCCACUUCACGUUAAUUUUAUUUAUACCUUGCUUGUUGAGCUUUACUUGUGAGCCCGCAUUAGGGAACUGCAUGUGAUACCUUGCUCAGAUGGUGCACCGUGCCUUGUAUUUUGGCAGCAAUGAGCUCAUUUCCCCCUCCCGUGCGUUCCCUCCCCACUGUGGCCUCCCCUUCCCUGCCCAAAUCCUCCUGAGGUUUGACUUCUUUUCUUCUUGAGAAAUGUAUGAACUCACCUUGGUUAUGCCUCCUGGGCAAACGCCUAAUCUUCAAGGUGAUGACAACUUGAUUGGUGAAUCAUAGAUUUUGGUACCUUUGAAGCUGACACAGGGAACUGUGAUUUCUGAAUGCAUCCCUUCAGAUAGGAGUGGCGUUUGUCUUUCUCUGAGAUUUUGUUUUUAAUCUGCUCUGAUGUCUUUCCAUUACUGAAAACCUUUUCCAUUGUAAUAUGGAACAGACAUAUUCAGCAACUGGCCAUUUACAUUGUGUAGUGUGUCAAUUAUGGGCCCAAAGCUUUGGAUGCUGCAGAAAUUCUAUCAGUGAUAUUCCUGGCUAGAGAAUAUUUGGAGGCAAACAACCACAGCCUGCUGACCAGGCUCACCCAGGCACACACACUUACUUCUCUUCUCAAAUCUGUUUUGUUUGGGGUAUCCGAGGGUCUAUAACUCCUUUGCUGCUCAGUCAGCCUCUCUCAUGCUUCUCCGCUAUUAUUCCAAGUUCUUUACUUCCUGCUCAUCUCAUUCUUUACCCUAUGGGUUACAACUCUGCCCCACACUGUUGCUGCCCCACUCUGGUCCUGUGAGCUGCCUUCCCUUGUCCUCACAUGCAGCAUGCCAGCCUGCAACCUUCCCCUUAUUCCAGAGCAGUUCUGCCUGGAGGCCCAUUGCCAUCCUGAUCAGGCAUUUCCCUGCUUCAGCAGGUUCUCAAAAUUAAAAGCCUUUUCAAGAGUGCCGUGACACUUAAUAAAUCAUACAUCAUAUGGAUUGUUUGCUGUACACAGAUUGCAACAAAGCUAUUUUUCACCUUGCUGAGGGCUUUUCCUCGAGCUCCUGCACAACAUGUUACUAACGAGGCCACGAGGCAGCUCAGAGCCACCACCUCACUCCUCUUUUCCUCUUUUUAACCCCUUUAGGAUUACUGGUGUUACAAGGCCAUAGCAAAGCAAAUCUUACCUGUGUUGGAGACUUCACUGAAAAUGAUGAAUGUAUUUCUGUGCAGAAAAGUGAAUGCAGUGCAAGUAGAUGAACUGUGUGUGUUUCGUAUAGCUUCUGAUAAACAUCUGCCUCGUAGAUACAAGGCUUAAUGGGAAAAUCAACUGCUAGUUGCACACAGUCUUGCUUAAUGAGCCUUACUGAGUCCAUUUUAACCUAUUGGCAAGAAAACAGAGCUCACCUCCAUCCCUAGCUUCUUCCUAUCCCUGAGAAAUCCAACCUGAAAAUUUAAUUUGCCACUGAAGAAGUCUUAGCCCUAAAAAGAAGAUUAGUCCUAUUUAGGAGUCUGUGGACAGUUGUUCACCACAUCCUGGGAAGUGAAGUCCUUUGGGGUCCUCCACGUGACUUGAGUGGGAUUUCAAGCAAACCUUCUGUCACAAAAAUAGCCAAAAUCUAUACUUCGAUUCAUCCCAGGGAGUGGAAAGUGUGAUAAUGUGCUAAAUGCUACUUUGGCUACUGAUAUACUUUUUACAUUAUAAGAACUGAUGAAGCAUUUAAUGGGAGAAAAGAGAAAAAACAACGAAUCAGGGAGUGUUCCCCUAGGCUGCUGAGUACAUGUGGUGUGAUAAAAUACCAUUAUUAAUCUCAGCUGGGGGCAAAUGACAGAUUCACAGUAGAAAGAAUCAAAGCCCAUGCAAACAAACCACAGCCACUUGGAAAAACAUCUCGAACAUAAACGCAAAAAUUACAGAUGUUACAUGAAGCUUUGUGGGAAAUGGUUCCAAAUACAGCCAAGCAUUGAGCAAAGUUUUGAAUGCAAUUAUUUCUCUUCUUUCUCCUUCCUCGAGUGGCUCUCAGCCAGGUGCAAUAUUCCCCAUUCCCAGCUCAUUUGCUGCACUGCUGCUCCCCUUUGCACAGCCUGCAGUCCCUCCCUCGUGUCCUGCCUUGUUCACAGUGCAGGAGCCAGAGCUGCACAUCGCCUUCCUGCAGGGACAGAGGUGGCAGAGCUCCCCAGCCCCAUGGCCACUGUCCCCCCCGGACCUUGGGAGCUGUGGGACUGUCUCUGGUGAGGCUCUGCCAGAGUGCUGUGUGCUGGAGGGCAGCAGCUUGGGAAGACCAUCCAGAAGAGGUGCUUCUGCAAUGCUGUGAUUGGUUUGGGCUGAGUUUGUAUAAUUAAUUUCAUCUUAAAUAAAUUUAGAGCAUAAAUAAUGAAGCUCUUAAUGGCCCUUGGGCCAGGCAGGCGUCAAGGUGUAUAGCGCACCACAUGGAAUGGAAGGAGCAGCUCUCCCUGUUGCGUCAGCUCCUUGCAGGGCAGGAACAACCCCCUUACUGGCUCGCACUGCUCUCAGAUCCCUGAACUCAGCUCCCCCUGGUUUAACAUACAGCAGUGUUUUAAAAGCCGCCUCCUCCUUUUCAGAAGGAGCGCCGAAUUUCUGCAUUGCCUUUAACUUUAAUAAAAGAGGGUGCUGCAAAGAGCAAUAGCUGGGGAUGGAAGUUACACUUCCACUGAUUCAGGGAUGAACUGUUGUGAAGAGAAACCUCCGGGAGCUGAGGGCUCCCUGUCUGCCUGCAGCCUUCUGGCUGGAGCUCUGAGCUGCUGCUGGGGAUGUGCUGGGUAAACUGUUCCUUCAUUCCUGUGCAGAUAUUACCUCAUAUUUCUGAUCUGAAUUUCACAUUCUGUCUUCUGGGAACAGUGAUACUUUUCUGCUCUGGAAUGAUGCAAUUACAAUGAUGUGUGUGCUGCUACCGCUGCUCUCCUGCACUGAGUGCCACGUUUCCCAAUUCCUGAGAUGAUACGGCGAGGUUUAGCACAAUUGCAUCUGUUAAAACCAACCACUGCUGUGAUGGCAAAGCUCUUCACAAUGCCUCAGAUCUGCAAUUCACACCUGAAUCCCAAUCAGUUUUCUGUAUCUCUUGGAUGGAAAUGAAAUGGAGAUCACUCAUUCAGCACAGUACCUGACAGCCCAGUGCCCAUGCAUGGAGUGAGUGCUCCUCACUGUGCUCCGGCCCACCUCACCUUGUGCUGCACAUGCAGAUGUGAUCCCCUGUGGGAUGCUAUUUCACAACAGGAAAUCCUGUGCUCUGAACAGCCAGAAUCCCACGUCAGCACACUGUUAAGCAAAUACAGUCGUUUUCUGAUGGUCAGAUUUACAAGGUGAUUGAGGCUGUCUGGAGAGGGAGUUGAACUGUGUGAGCUGUCGGCUUGGUGCUGCUGCUCCUGCUGUCCCUCUCUCCUGUUUUCCUUGUGUGCAGGCAGCCUUCUCUGUAACAAAUGGCCCUGUGCCCACCAUCGCUUCGUUGCAGCAUCAGGAAGAAACAGAUAGAUGUUGCCAUUUACCUGGGUAAGAUAAAUAGUGAUUGGGCGGUGGGUUUCUUGUCUGAAGAUGGAUUGAGCAAUAGAAGCCAUUCUCCCUUGCACUUCUCCUUUCAGGUGGCUGAGAAGCAAUUUCAAGCAAUGGAAGUUUGGGCCCAGUAACGUUCAUCAUGUUGGCUCUAGGAGAGAAAUUAGUCACAGUGUGAGUAAAUAAUGGAGAAGGUGCAGAAGGCAGAGCGAGGCAGCAUUUUUCUCCAUCUUUUCCUGCUUUGUGGGUUGAAAGGAUGGAAGUGCACCACAUAUGCAUUCAGGGUCUGGGGAUUUCGGAGUCAGCUCGUUGUAAACCUAAAAUUCAUUCCUUACCCACUGCAUGGCUUCUGCUGAGGGACCACUGCCCCUCUGCCCAGUUCUGUGUCUGAAAUUUCCUGUGCUCUUUUGGGAUAAGAGUAAAUGACUCUUAAUAUUUGAGUUGUUCUUCCACGUGCAAUGUUUGCCCGUACUGAUGGAAAGAGUAUUCCAUGCUUACCAUAACUGCUAGCAGCACAGAUUUCAUGGGAUGAAAGAGCAAAACAACACAGAAGUGUUGGGGGUUUCAGCCGGAGGAAACUGAAUCCCAUACACAGAGUUCUGUAGGUGUAGCUCCCAGCUAUCUGUUGCCUCAUCAAAGAUGCAUUGUACGACGAUUUCUGGUCUGCGCUCCGACCUUGAAUGGAGGUCUGUGGCUGCCCGUGCCACGCUUCCCUUUCAUCUCAAGGCCACGGGAAAAUUACUUCUGCUGCUCCUUCCCCUUCAUAUUCAUUCAUCAUUUCCAUAUGGUAGCUGUGCCGUGGUGCCAUGUGCUGUGCAGCUCAGCCGCGCUGGGAGCUGCCAACGUUCGAAUCAAUUUUUGCUCUGAAGCAGCAAUGAGGAGCUGCUCCAUAUCACACUGCAAGGAAAUAAGCACUGGCUCAAAAGCGGCUGGCUCUGUUUUCCCAUUCCUCAUAUCUCCUUGGGAUCUCGGAAUGUUUUUUGAUCAUCUUGGACUGGAAGUCUGAGCUUUUGAUGAUUUCCCUUGAAUACCAUUUGAGGGUUACUUUUCUAUGUAUAACCAAUAGUGUAUUUUGUGAGGUCAGAUGUUUCUGUGAAUCGACUUUGUUCAUUUUUACCACUACUGGGUCUGAAUGUGAGGAGCUGGGUGAUAAUUGCAGGGUGGAAUGGUGAAGUCUGGCACAGAUCUGACUUUUAGUUUUCCUGCUGUGUGUCACAAGUCAGUCUAACUUAAGUGCAGGUGUUUUGGUCUGCAGCUGGUGGCUGCCCUGGUGAUGCCAAAGGGCUCAGAUCUGCAGUUAAUAAAGACCCAGACAUGGGUCGAUGGAGCUCUGCUGUCCCCUCUGAUAAAGAGAUCCCUGGGAGUGCAGCACGCUUCUGCUGAGACUGAGAAAGUGGUUGUGGCAGAGAGCACUUGUGACCCUGAGACAUGACAGUUUGGGAGGUUUCUCAGUUAAUGAGAUUUUUCUCAGCUAACAGCCUGUCUGCUGAGCAGCCUGACCCAGCCCGCCCCUUGUACACACUGGUGGCAGUGUCCCUGCUGGGAGGGGACACGGGGCAUGGGGCUCAGAUUUGAAUGGGGCAGCACCAGCACUGCUGCUAGGGAUGUGUGUGGUCCUCACCCAG